CCCUUAGAGUUUGAUCCUGGCUCAGGAUGAACGCUGGCGGCGUGCCUAAUACAUGCAAGUCGAACGAAUCUCUUUUAGAGAUGAGUGGCGAACGGGUGAGUAAUACAUAGGUAACCUGCCCCUGUGCGGGGGAUAACAGGAGGAAACUCCUGCUAAUACCGCAUAGCCAUGAGCACCGCAUGGAGCUCAUGCCAAAUAUCCUUUAUGGGAUAGCGCAGGGAUGGACCUAUGGCGCAUUAGCUGGUUGGCGGGGCAACGGCCCACCAAGGCAACGAUGCGUAGCCGGCCUGAGAGGGCGGACGGCCACAUUGGGACUGAGACACGGCCCAGACUCCUACGGGAGGCAGCAGUAGGGAAUUUUCGGCAAUGGGGGAAACCCUGACCGAGCAACGCCGCGUGAGCGAAGAAGGCCUUCGGGUCGUAAAGCUCUGUUGUAAAGGAAGAACGGCGCAUACAGGAAAUGGUAUGCGAGUGACGGUACUUUACCAGAAAGCCACGGCUAACUACGUGCCAGCAGCCGCGGUAAUACGUAGGUGGCGAGCGUUAUCCGGAAUCAUUGGGCGUAAAGAGGGAGCAGGCGGCCGCAAGGGUCUGUGGUGAAAGACCGAAGCUAAACUUCGGUAAGCCAUGGAAACCGGGCGGCUAGAGUGCGGAAGAGGAUCGUGGAAUUCCAUGUGUAGCGGUGAAAUGCGUAGAUAUAUGGAGGAACACCAGUGGCGAAGGCGACGGUCUGGGCCGCAACUGACGCUCAUUCCCGAAAGCGUGGGGAGCAAAUAGGAUUAGAUACCCUAGUAGUCCACGCCGUAAACGAUGGUCACUAAGUGUCGGGGGUCAAACCCCGGUGCUGCAGUCAACGCAAUAAGUGACCCGCCUGAGUAGUACGUUCGCAAGAA
rnacentral:rRNA from 1 species